GUUCACCGCGGUCGAUCUCUAGGUUAGAGCUGGAUCUUGCAGAAAGGCACCAGAACGCUCGAUGGCGUAGCUAAAGCAAAGGGAACCGUGCUGGAGCCUAGAAAAAGUGUCAACAAACCGUGUGGCUCUGAGUCUGUCUCCCACGCCAUUACACUGCUCACCUGAAGCCUGAAAAGAAGCAGGACCUGGGAGAAAAACUCCAAACUUCUUAGGGCAAUCACUCCUUUCUAGACUCAGUUCUGGGCUGUCCCCAGAGCAGAAUUGGUUUCUGCGCUAAUCCCAGGGGAGCCUGAACAGACGUACAAAAGCAUCCAGACAUCCAUAAGGAGCGGCCAGUCAACCUUGCGGUGACCUGGGGACUCCAGACAGAGUUCCAAAGACACCUCCACCUUCUUCCGUCCCCUGUGGCCUAGGAGGACUUGCAGAGCCACCGAGGCUGAGAAUGAAAGGAGCUAUGAAUAUGCUGGAUACACACUAGCAGGCCACGCUGGGACACUGUUACAAUCAGGACGUGCUGUAACAGGCCUGGCCCAUAUAGACAAAUCUUACGGCAACAGCUUCAUGGAUCAUAGGAUCUAAGUGGAAUCGAGGGAUGAUCCUUCUGACCAGUUUGAGACAGAAAGGUUACUCAGAAGAGAAUAAGAGGGAUGCUCAUGCCAAGAGUCACUGGGCUUGGUUAACCAUGAAGUUUGUUCUACGUAGACAGUAGAAACUCCUUCUUCUACCAUAGAGCACAUUUUGUUUCUGUCUUUUGCUCAAAUGAUGACUUCCACUAUAAGCAUAUAAGUUAUUCCACAAUAAGAACCUAAUUUGUAUCCAGGUUUUACAAGCUUAUAAUCUUAGCAGAAAUGUCACCUAAAGGCCAGCCUGGUCUACAUAGCAAGUUCCAGGAUAGUCAGAACUACCUAAGGAGACCUUGUCACAAAAACAAAACAAAACAAACAAAAGAUUUAUCUGCAGACCCCCAGGUCCUAACACUGUAGUUCACACGUGACAGGUUUGUAAUAAAUGAGGCCUCGUGACCAGAAUACAGGAAUAGAUAGAAUUUGACUAGCCAUAGAUGUCAGCGGGAGAUACUGAACCAUGUGCUGGAGGAGACUAAAGACAGCAGUAGGAGGUUGUUGAAGCUUUACAAAAAAGAGAGAAAUCUGAUCAGAAAUUUGCUUAGAGGAAGUAACUGGCUGCAAGGGAGGAGUGGAUUUUGGCUGGAGGGAAAUGGAAAUGAAAUUAAUAAGCAAAACUAUCAUACAGGGUGCUGCUACAUAGAACAAUAGCCCUCAUCUACAGCCUGGAAGCUAAGUUUGACCCUUAACUUUAAAAUGCACCUCAGAAGCAAGGGCAAGGUACAUACAUAUGCCUUUAAUUCCAGCUCUCAGGGAGGUAGAGGCAGGCAGAGUUCCUUGAGUCUGCAACUAGCCUGGUCUACACAGAGAAUUCCAAUCCAGCCAGGUACACAGUGAAACUGAAGCUCAAAGGAAAAAGAAAAAAAGAAAAAUACUUAAGAAUUCCAAUUAAGACACACUCAAACAUAGUAUAAAAAUCCAACUGUGCUAGCUCAAAUACUUUGGUCUUCACUAGAAGAGCUUGCUCUUGUAAAUGACAAGAGUGCUCACAGAUCUGCCAGGCUGGGAGUUUGAAGAGGCUCACAUCUGGCUUUAAUGACCAUCGUCUGGAAAAACAACAUGUCUGCAGACUCAGAGCGAAAGGAGUCUGCUUGACAGGAAGAGGAGAGGGGUGUGUUUUAUCUUCAGCAUUGAAGCUUCUGCUCGAUCACUGCCAAGCACACUUCAGUCCUGGAUUCACAAAGUACCAGAAAAUGGGAGCUAAGGAGGGACAUGCCACUCAUUUGCUGCUGGGCGUGGCCUAGGAGCCUCUCCAGAUAGUCAGGAAAUAUACUAUAAAAUGACAAGGAGUCAUCCUGGAUCUGUGGACAUGCUUAACCCUGACAGCAUCCAGUUCACUGUAGAACAGCAUUCCUGAGCAGGGACUGAGUCUGGCUCACCGACUGAUCACCACAGUGCCACGGUCACCACAGUGCCAUGCAGAGAGUAAUACUUCUGAAGGAGAAUGCUUGCAGAACUGGCCUAAUGAGAAAUCA